AACCUAACCUGACUAGGACUUGUCCGAAAGGCAUGGUUGCAAAUCUCAACAAAGGUACGACGCUCGUCGUUUAGGUAUUCUUUGUUGAGUCAUAACUGGAAACGGUUGUGGGUGAUCUUCGGGUCAUC
rnacentral:sRNA from 12 species